CCGAGGAUAUAAUGAAUUUUUAUUAACUUUACAAUCAAAUGACUAAUGGUAAGGACAACAGGACGUGAGUCCCUAAUUAAGUCCCACCAAAAACUUACAUUACAUAUUUACUUAUAGGUAUUACAAGAAUACAUACAUAACCACUGACUUACAACAAUUAUAAUUACAUCAUAAACGUCAACAGUUUGUAUGUAAAGAACCACAUUUACUGCACACAGUUUUCCAUGUUCUGGGACGGUCUAUACAUCAAAGUACUGUUCAGCUUUUUACCACAAACAGAAUUGAAAUUGGUUAAUUCAAACCGAUUUUAUAGCCUUCCAAACGGCCAUUUUUGGCACUUCCUGUGCGAACUUUUGAUCGGCCAUGUUGAUGCCAUGUGACGUCAUAAGAUGAACACGAUUUCAUCAUGGCGUAUUAAAAUUAUAGUAAAACCAUAGGUAGCCCAGACACACUGUGCGAUUUAAAUUUAAAUGCUUGGCAUACUUAAUUACCCCCUGCGGUAUCGAUUUCAAAAUAAUAAUGUUAACG